rnacentral:rRNA from 1 species
UGGGGAAUAUUGGACAAUGGGGGCAACCCUGAUCCAGCCAUGCCGCGUGAGUGAUGAAGGCCUUCGGGUUGUAAAGCUCUUUUGGCGGGGACGAUGAUGACGGUACCCGCAGAAUAAGCCCCGGCUAACUUCGUGCCAGCAGCCGCGGUAAGACGAAGGGGGCUAGCGUUGUUCGGAAUUACUGGGCGUAAAGCGAGUGUAGGCGGUUGCCGUAGUCAGGUGUGAAAGCCUUGAGCUCAACUCAAGAAAUGCACUUGAUACUGGGUGACUAGAGGACCGGAGAGGAUAGUGGAAUUCCCAGUGUAGUGGUGAAAUACGUAGAGAUUGGGAAGAACACCAGUGGCGAAGGCGGCU